rnacentral:misc_RNA from 1 species
AGGUAAACCAAAAUAAAACCCUAAGUUGAAGCCGUGCUCCACUUGCCCUCCAAAAAUCCAAAAUCAGGAAAUUCAUUUCUUGACCCCAAAAAUUUUCAGUAUUCUCAAUUCUCUCCCGCCACUACAGGAAUAAAGGGAACCAAGUGCAAACAAGCCAAAAAGCUGAUACAUUUUUCCGAUUAUCACUCUAUUUUGUCUUUGAUAUCCAUAGUUUUGUUUUGUUUGGGAAACACCUCCAAAAAGCAGUUGCACCAGUCAUGGCAGUUAAUUCUUCAGGUCUUAAUUUGACAAGCCAAGCUGCUGCUCAAGAGCAGAAGAAUGGUCCCUCUAAUUGCCCAGGAGUUCGCGUCAUUGGAAGAAGAAUAUAUGAUCCUGAAAAAGGGAAGAGUUGUCACCAAUGCCGGCAAAAAACACGGGAUUUGGCAGCUGGUUGCAAGAACCAGAAAAGAAACAAGCAAUGUCCCAUUCAUUACUGCCAUAAAUGCCUACUGAACAGGUAUGGAGAGAAAAUUCAAGAGGUAGUGCUGUUUGAUGAGUGGAAAUGUCCCAAGUGUAGGGGCAUUUGCAAUUGCAGCUUGUGUAUGAGGAAAAGAGGUCAUAGGCCUACUGGUAUACUUGUGCACACAGCCAAGCAAAGUGGGUUUUCCUCUGUCUCAGAACUUCUUCGAGUUAAAGGUGCUGAGAAUUUUGGUAUUGAUAGAAUUGCAAAAGAUGCAAGGGUUUCAUUGAAGAAGCCUGAUUCCACAAAGGAGUCUACACCUGCUUCACCAAGGAAACCAGAGAAGGAAAACUCUUUUGAAGGAAACAAUGAUCUGAGCGAGCAUUUUCAGAAUUUAACACUAAUCUCUAACAAGAGGAAAUAUAAGAAAAUGAGAAGGGAAGGAUUACUGGGUCUAGAAGUUGAUGAUGAUGAUGAGGCUAGUUUGGGGGAGAGUGAUCAGAAUAAGCCUGGACUUACUGAGGAAGUUUCUAAAAAAAAAGUGAAGACAAAUGAAGAUGAUGAAAGUGUUGUGGUAGAGAACAGCAAGUCUAAGACACAGUAUGAGGAUAUUCCUAAGAAAGAACUAAAGCAAAAUGGAAAGGAAGAGCUGGAUGCUGCAAAUCUAAAAAAUGGAGCUGUUUUGAGUGAUGUUGAAAAUGAUAAUCUUGAUACCAAGAACAUGACAGCUGUAGAGUUGGGCAAAAUUGUGGAGCACCACAGCAAACAAAUUGAUGAAAAAAUUCCAUUGCCUUCAGCCACCUGCUUAACUACUGUAGCUGGGAUUGAGUUACCUAAUGAAGAUGUUGGGGAUGCACUGCAAUUCUUCGAGUUUUGUGCUGCUUUUAGUGAGGUUCUUGAUAUCAAGAAAGGGCAAGCUGAAGCUGUCAUUAGAGAAAUAAUAGCUGGCCAAAGAGAGUGCCGGUCACAACACUCGUUAUUAGUGCAGUUUCACAUCAAACUAUUGUCCCUGAUACAAGAGGAUACGGGAGAAGUAUUUGCAGACCUAAGUCCAGCAAAUGGCCAAAAUUCAUGGUUGAAAGCUCUUGGGAAAUGUGUCUCUAAAUGCAAAUUCAUAUCAUUGGGAUUCCCCUCUGAUUGUUUUGAUACUGGUGAUGAAGGAUAUGAUAUGUUGAGUACCUCACAAAAGUUUAAACUCUUGAAUUUUCUAUGUGAUGAAGCUCUUAAUACAAAAGAUUUGAGGAGUUGGAUUGAUGAUCAAAAUUCUAAAUUUAUUGAAAGAGAGAAGGAAGCAAGAGAAAAGGUUCUUGCAGCAAAGGAUAAGGUAUCAAGUGAUUCUAAAUGUGCAUUUUGGCUUUCAAAUGUUCUUGAAUUGACAUUUUAUUGUGAAAUGGAUCCCGUUCCUUGCUUCCUCCCAAAAAAACAAAAAUGUCCGUUUGGAAUUUGGUACAGGAGAAACAAUUGAAAAAGAAGGUGCAGGAUGAGGUGGCUAAAGCCAUCAUUGCAAAAGCAAAAAAUGGUGCUCCCUUCACUGUUUCUGAGCAUGAAACAAUAGUUUCACAAAUAAAAAAAGAAGCUGCUCAAGCUCGUGCUGAAAUGAUGGAGGCUAUGGGAAUGGUACCCCAAAAAAGACAAAGAUCCGAUGCUGUUAGAACAGAUCCUAUCCUUUUGGAUGUCAAUGGUCGUGCCUUUUGGAGACUAAAAGGCUAUAGCGAUCAACCAGACAUCUUGCUUCAAGAUGUAGGGAGCUGUACUUCAGUUGAACCUGAGGAGAAAUGGUUUGUCUAUGAUGUAGAACAGAAACAAGGAAUUGAGAAAUACAUCUCCUCCUUAAGGACAAAAAAGCUCAGAAUUCAAAAAGCUACUGAAACCCCUUUCUUUGGAGACGUUGAAACAAACUAAUAGUAUGCUUUUACUGACAUUUUGCCAUCUUUAUGUGCAGUGAGAUCAAGAAGAAAAUUCUGAGGUUCAUCUACUACUACAUUUUUGACAAUGGCUUCAAGCAAAGUGGUCUGAUGCUGAACUUGCAGUAUUAAGUAAUUGACAUCUUUGCUUAGAUUUCUUUGGUUGUUGUAUAAGCUUAUUAAAACGAUGAAUUAUAACAUUUUUAGAGCAGUUAAUUGUCAUUGUUUGCAAGUUUUCUUGUAAAAGGG